rnacentral:rRNA from 1 species
GACGAACGCUGGCGGCGUGCUUAACACAUGCAAGUCGAACGGAAAGGCCCUGCUUUUGUGGGGUGCUCGAGUGGCGAACGGGUGAGUAACACGUGAGUAACCUGCCCUUGACUUUGGGAUAACUUCAGGAAACUGGGGCUAAUACCGGAUAGGAGCUCCUGCUGCAUGGUGGGGGUUGGAAAGUUUCGGCGGUUGGGGAUGGACUCGCGGCUUAUCAGCUCGUUGGUGGGGUAGUGGCUUACCAAGGCUUUGACGGGUAGCCGGCCUGAGAGGGUGACCGGCCACAUUGGGACUGGGAUACGGCCCAGACUCCUACGGGAGGCAGCAGUGGGGAAUAUUGCACAAUGGGCGGAAGCCUGAUGCAGCAACGCCGCGUGCGGGAUGACGGCCUUCGGGUUGUAAACCGCUUUCGCCUGUGACGAAGCGUGAGUGACGGUAAUGGGUAAAGAAGCACCGGCUAACUACGU